UACGGAGGGGGCUAGCGUUGUUCGGAAUUACUGGGCGUAAAGCGCGCGUAGGCGGCCACGCAAGUCGGGUGUGAAAUCCCGGAGCUACAACUCCGGAACUGCACUCGAAACUGCGCGGCUUGAGGUAGGUAGGGGAGAUCGGAAUUCCUGGUGUAGCGGUGGAAUGCGCAGAUAUCAGGAGGAACACCGGUGGCGAAGGCGGAUCUCUGGGCCUUACCUGACGCUGAGACGCGAAAGCUAGGGGAGCGAACAGG
rnacentral:rRNA from 1 species